ACGCUGGCGGCGUGCCUAAUACAUGCAAGUCGAACGGAGAUUAAGUAGCUUGCUAUUUAAUCUUAGUGGCGCACGGGUGAGUAAUAUAUAGCUAACUUGCCCAUUACUAAGGGACAACAGUUGGAAACGACUGCUAAUACCUUAUACUCCGUAUCUAUAUAAGUAGAUACGGGAAAGUUUUUCGGUAAUGGAUAGGGCUAUAUCGUAUCAGCUAGUUGGUAAGGUAAUGGCUUACCAAGGCUAUGACGCGUAACUGGUCUGAGAGGAUGAUCAGUCACACUGGAACUGAGACGCGGUCCAGACUCCUACGGGAGGCAGCAGUAGGGAAUAUUGCUCAAUGGGGGAAACCCUGAAGCAGCAACGCCGCGUGGAGGAUGACACUUUUCGGAGCGUAAACUCCUUUUCUUGGGAAAGAAUUAUGACGGUACCCAAGGAAUAAGCACCGGCUAACUCCGUGCCAGCAGCCGCGGUAAUACGGAGGGUGCAAGCGUUACUCGGAAUCACUGGGCGUAAAGGACGCGUAGGCGGAUUAUCAAGUCUCUUGUGAAAUCUAACGGCUUAACCGUUAAACUGCUUGGGAAACUGAUAAUCUAGAGUAAGGGAGAGGCAGAUGGAAUUCUUGGUGUAGGGGUAAAAUCCGUAGAGAUCAAGAAGAAUACCCAUUGCGAAAGCGAUCUGCUGAACUUAACUGACGCUAAUGCGUGAAAGCGUGGGGAGCAAACAGGAUUAGAUACCCUGGUAGUCCACGCCCUAAACGAUGUAUACUAGUUGUUGCUUCGCUAGUCGAGGCAGUAAUACACCUAACGGAUUAAGUAUACCGCCUGGGGAGUACGGUCGCAAGAUUAAAACUCAAAGGAAUAGACGGGGACCCGCACAAGCGGUGGAGCAUGUGGUUUAAUUCGAAGAUACGCGAAGA
rnacentral:rRNA from 1 species